CGUUCUAGUCACCUAAUUUUCAUGUUAAUUGUGUACUUUAUUAAAUGAAAACUUCAAAAUCAAAGACUUUGCUCAAAAUGUCGUAUGGAAAACAUUGUAUGGUGAAGAACUGUGGAAACUUGCUGUUUGGGAUUCUUCAAAUAUAAGUUUUUUAAAUUUAUCGAAGAAAAUGGAAACGUAAGAAUUGAAACUCGUACAAUGGGACUCGGAUGUUGAUUGAUUUUUAUUUUCAGUACUCUGAAGUGGAUAGAAUUUUGUGGGCGUCAAGACAUUAACUUGAGUAAAAGCUACAUCAUGUGCAGUGAACAUUUUACCGAAGAUUAAAAUGUUAGGCACUAUAAUCUUUGCAUUUUACUUUAUAUCAAUUUGAAGCUUUUCAUCCACGUAAGUUGCUGUAUGCAGGAACCAUCCCAUGCAUGAAAGGGCCACCAUAGGAACCACAUGCGAUGGAGGGCGAGCAGUUUGAAACUGAUACAUCGAAUACGGAUGAAAGCAUUCCUUUCCUUUCAUGGAGGAGCCACAUGAGAUGGAAAGAGAGCAGAUUGAAAGUGUUAUGACAAAUACUGAUGAUAUUCUUCCGAGUGACCUGAAAGAAGUUCUCACACCCUGCAGAGUACUUCCAAGUCUUUCUCCAGAAGUGAUAGAAAGAUCAGAAAACUGAAAACAACAAUCAACUCCUUUCGAUGCAAAGUAUAUAGUAUAUUGAAUAUUUGUUCAUAUAGAUUUCUGCUAAAAAUUGU